CAGGGAUUGCCUCAGUAACGGCGAGUGAAGCGGCAACAGCUCAAAUUUGAAAUCUGACCCCCCCCCGGGGCCCGAGUUGUAAUUUGCAGAGGGUGCUUCGGGCGCGGCGCCGGUCUAAGUUCCUUGGAACAGGACGUCGUAGAGGGUGAGAAUCCCGUAUGCGACCGGCGGCCAAGCCCGUGUGAAGCCCCUUCGACGAGUCGAGUUGUUUGGGAAUGCAGCUCAAAACGGGUGGUAAAUUUCAUCUAAGGCUAAAUACCGGCCAGAGACCGAUAGCGGACAAGUAGAGUGAUCGAAAGAUGAAAAGCACUUUGGAAAGAGAGUCAAACAGUACGUGAAAUUGUUGAAAGGGAAGCGCUUGCGAUCAGACCGGUCCGGGGGCGAUCAGCCGCGGCUCGUCCGCGGUGCACUCGCCCUCGAUCCGGCCAGCAUCGGUCUGGGCGGCGGGAGAAAAGUCCCGGGAACGUAGCUCCUCUCGGGGAGUCUUAUAGCCCGGGUCGCCAUGCCGCCCGCCCGGACCGAGGACCGCGCUUCGGCUAGGAUGCUGGCGUAAUGGUCGCAAGCGACCCGUCUUGAAACACGGACCAAGGAGUCUAACAUCUAUGCGAGUGUUUGGGUGUCAAACCCGGGCGCGGAAUGAAAGUGAACGGAGGUGGGAACCCGUCGCACGGCGCACCAUCGACCGAUCCAGAUGUCUUCGGAUGGAUUUGAGUACGAGCAUAGCUGUUGGGACCCGAAAGAUGGUGAACUAUGCCCGGAUAGGGUGAAGCCAGAGGAAACUCUGGUGGAGGCUCGCAGCGGUUCUGACGUGCAAAUCGAUCGUCAAAUCUAGGCAUAGGGGCGAAAGACCAAUCGAACCAUCUAG
rnacentral:rRNA from 1 species